UGGGGAAUAUUGCACAAUGGGCGCAAGCCUGAUGCAGCCAUGCCGCGUGUGUGAAGAAGGCCUUCGGGUUGUAAGCACUUUCAGCGAGGAGGAAGGUGGUGAGCUUAAUACGCUCAUCAAUUGACGUUACUCGCAGAAGAAGCACCGGCUAACUCCGUGCCAGCAGCCGCGGUAAUACGGAGGGUGCAAGCGUUAAUCGGAAUUACUGGGCGUAAAGCGCACGCAGGCGGUUUGUUAAGUCAGAUGUGAAAUCCCCGGGCUCAACCUGGGAACUGCAUUUGAAACUGGCAAGCUAGAGUCUCGUAGAGGGGGGUAGAAAUUUCCAGGUGUAGCGGUGAAAUGCGUAGAGAUCUGGAGGAAUACCGGUGGCGAAGGCGGCCCCCUGGACGAAGACUGACGCUCAGGUGCG
rnacentral:rRNA from 1 species